UGCAGCGUGAGUGAGCACAGAGCUGUCCAAGGUGCUGAAGGGCUACUGCUGCAUCAUCAUCAUCAUCAUCAUCAUUAUUAUUACACAGUCCUCACCUCAAGGUAUCCUGAUGACUGAAACCCCAAACGAAAAAGCUCCUCGUGACUCCGGAUGAAGAAAUAGACACAAAAAUACAAGCUUUGCUCAGUAACCAGGCCGACACAGUCAAAACAAUUUGAAUGCAAAAUAAUUCUGUGAAGCAGCACGACACACAUCAUUUCCAGCCGGCAGGCACUUUGAUUGAUCCAUGGGACAUCUUCAGUCACUCAGCUGAGAUUUAUACUCACUUUGUAAUUACAAUAAAGGCUUCCAGAGAGCUGCUAUUGGAUGACAGUUAAAAUAUUGACCAAUAACGGAGGAUUACACAGAAUAAAUAAAUCAGGGACCUCUACUUUUGUUUUGUUUAGAUCUCUUGAGAACAAAUGAGUGCUAUAUAGGGAUCAUGCCAACACCAGCCAGUUCAGUCUAAUUUGCCAUGCUGAGCAUGCCCCAGCUUGCCACACCAUUUACCAGAGGACUGAUUAAUUUGCACUGCUAAUUUGUGCUGUGUUAUUUCUGUUGCCCUGCGGCUUGUGGAAAACACUGCAUUUGAGCUCAGUCAGCUAUUAGCUGCCAGAUUUCACUUCGUGAGCUUCCUCCAUGUUUAGAAACCACGAACAUUAACAAAGACGACCAUGUGGAGCAGUGCCACUCCUCAGAGCUUCUGACUGCAAAGAAACAGUCAUUUAGUUAAGCGAUUUCAAUCUCCAAAAACAUUCCCUCACUUCCAAGAUGAGCAACACAAACUACUGGCUCAUGGACUAUGAUGUUUCUUCUCCAGCUCCGCCUGGGUAUCCCCGGGGCCCCACCGUGCUGCAGCCCGUGCCGGGUCACCCAGAACAAGGAUCAGCCCUGUGUUUUGUUGGCCUCCUCGUGCUGCUGCUGCUCUUCCUCGUGGUUCGUUGUGUCCGCAUCAUUUUAGAUCCUUACAGCAGCAUGCCAUCGUCAUCGUGGACGGACCACAAGGAAGGUCUCGACAGAGCACAGUUUGAUUACGCCAUUGUGUAACAGCGGAAGCGGCUAGGGAUGAGAGAAAUAUCCAGUGAAAAGCUCGGUUCCUGGUGUAAAAGGAAGCUCUCAGUCCUUAUUGCAUAACAAUAUGAAAGCACUGAACAGAAACUGUAUGAGGGCAAAAUGCAGCACAGCAGAGAGAACAAACAGAAACACCAGAAGCCCAGUUUCCAUUUUACUUUACAGACAUUAAGUGUGUGUGUGUGUUAUGUACAGUGCUUUCAGUGACAGACGCUGCAGGAAGAGAAGGAUCCAUAUCUCCGCAUUUCUUCAUGACUCGUGCUCAUCAUGUCAUUUUAUAAUUCUAUAAUGUUUUUUUUUUCUUUUACAAAUUCCAGAAAGCAGAUCUCCGCAGGAGAUGUCCUGAUCAAAUAAGAGAGAAACUAAAUGAGUUUAGGAUAGACAUGGAAAUCAUUUAGACACAACUGCACUCACUUGCAAGAGCUUUAGAAAAAAGGAGCAUAUGCUUUCUAUGAUUAUUAGGUAAAAGGCUGGAUUAGUUUAAUUGAAAAGAUCAGGAAAGAAGGUCUGAGUUUGCUUGAAACUGUAAACUUGAUUUUUUUCUAAAUCAGCUUUGACUCGUGCUGGAUAUUUGGUGGCUUUUGUGCCACCACUCUGAUGACCCUCAGGUAAAGUUCUUGACCAAUUAACCAAAGCACCUGUUUUUAAAGAUGUAAUUUAGAUUUCCUUCUGAAAUUGAGCUUUAGCUUCUAUUUAUAUCUUUUUCUUUUCAAAUUCACUUUGUCCUAAAUUCAAUGUCUAUAAAAGCUACAUUUAUAAUGAAUAAACAUCACAAAAUUUUCUUCGGGGUUUUGCUGUUUCACGUCACCAUCCCUUUAAAAGGCUUAUGAGGCUCACAGCUCUGAUUGAAUGUGUGUCAUAUAAAGUUCUGAUUAUGAAAUGCAAGUGCACCAAUGUCCUCCCGCUAAUCCUUUUUGCCUUUAGGCCCCAUCCAGUGAAACACCAGCCAAAUCUGUUCAACAGUACCUGUAAAAAUAGAUCUAUUUCAUACUAAUACUGCUCCUUUGGCCUCUUGUUUUAUAUUGUUUCUGUCCGUGUUAUACUGUAAAGCCCUUUGAAACGUGGCUCUGAAAGACUUUAUAAAUAAUGGCUAGUAUUGAUAUUUCACUGAUUUUUCUGUUUCCAUAAUGAUUAAAGACUGAAAUAUCAAACUGC